GGAUGUGAGGACGACCUGCCUGUGACAUCUGUCACCCUACUGGUUGCCAGCAUUGAUUUAGCUAACAUGGCUGCCUAGGCAGGUGUCUCCUUCCCUCAUUGCUCCAUGUUAACCCCUCCUGGAGCUGUACUCUUAGCUGAAGAGGGUGACCUUCACUGAUGGAAGACCAUUUCCUCCAUCAAGGGUAUGGGAUUAGCUAUACUCCCCUGCUAGAAUCUCCAAACUCUCAAGAUUGCACAAAUUCCAAAGACAAGGACUUUCUCAUCACCCUUGACUGCUCAAAAGUUUGAUUUAAAUUGAAAUGGUGGCUGGGGAUAUAGCUCUGCAGUACAGUGCCUGC
rfam:Cavia porcellus supercont2_13 genomic scaffold, whole genome shotgun sequence.